UACGUAGGGGGCAAGCGUUGUCCGGAAUCAUUGGGCGUAAAGAGCGUGUAGGCGGCCUGAUAAGUCGGUUGUGAAAGUCAAGGGCUCAACCCUUGAAUGCCGGCCGAUACUGUCAGGCUAGAGUCCGGAAGAGGCGAGUGGAAUUCCUGGUGUAGCGGUGAAAUGCGCAGAUAUCAGGAGGAACACCGGUGGCGAAGGCGGGUCUCUGGGCAGUAACUGACGCUGAGACGCGAAAGCGUGGGGAGCGAACAGG
rnacentral:rRNA from 1 species